AGUGAACGCUGGCGGUAGGCCUAACACAUGCAAGUCGAACGGCAGCACAGUAAGAGCUUGCUCUUACGGGUGGCGAGUGGCGGGCGGGUGAGGAAUACAUCGGAAUCUACUUUUUCGUGGGGGAUAACGUAGGGAAACUUACGCUAAUACCGCAUACGACCUACGGGUGAAAGCAGGGGAUCUUCGGACCUUGCGCGAUUGAAUGAGCCGAUGUCGGAUUAGCUAGUUGGCGGGGUAAAGGCCCACCAAGGCGACGAUCUGUAGCUGGUCUGAGAGGAUGAUCAGCCACACUGGAACUGAGACACGGUCCAGACUCCUACGGGAGGCAGCAGUGGGGAAUAUUGGACAAUGGGCGCAAGCCUGAUCCAGCCAUACCGCGUGGGUGAAGAAGGCCUUCGGGUUGUAAAGCCCUUUUGUUGGGAAAGAAAAGCAGCAGGUUAAUACCCCGCUGUUCUGACGGUACCCAAAGAAUAAGCACCGGCUAACUUCGUG
rnacentral:rRNA from 1 species